rnacentral:lncRNA from 1 species
UCUCAUGGGGAGGCCAGUUAUCACAUUCAGGACAAAUCCUGGAUGGGAGCAUUUCUUUUGGGCCAAGGGACAAGUAAUUAUUUAAAGAGAUAUUGGGAUUCUGAGUCCAGAAGACACAUUUCUUACUCCGGGGCUUACUGGAAGAGGAGCUGGUUACCUACUAGCCACUGAGCUUUCACCUUUCCUUAACAGAUAUUUUCCAAACACUCAUUGUGACAGCACCUAGAAAUAAGUGAGCAAAAUAAAUAAAACAGAGCCUGUGACCCCAGGAACUUACACUCAACUGGAGAAGGCAGAAAGGCAAAUAAACCCUCAGAAAUCAAUCUAAAAGUGGAAUUUUGUGCUACUUUGAAAAACAGGCAAUGGAGCUGUGACUGUCUAGGGAGGAAUGGGAAGACUUCACAGAAGAGGGUUGGAAGUCCUUGUGGCUCUGAGCAUCUGAGGAAAUGAUAGGAGGACAUGAAGCUGUUUCUCCGAUAGACUGCAUAGGUUCAUGGCACAUCAACGAGUGUGACUGGGGAGUGCUGGCAAAUCUACAGUUGAACUGCCUAAUAAUUUGUGGCAUCAGAACCAUGCAGGAGACAAACAAAAUGACUUAGACCUUCUGUGUGAUCUCACGAGGGUUGUGUUGUAGGGCUCCUGUAAUAAGGUGAGUUAUUAUAUCUGCGUAGUGCCGGGC